rnacentral:lncRNA from 1 species
GUUCUUGCAUCUCCAGUAAGCAAAAAAGUCAAAGAUGAGAGUGACUUUGAAUGGUUAAGUCAGCUCAGGUGCUACUGGGAGUUAAGUGAUACCUCUCAAUCCUAUUAGAAGAGUGACAAAAAUGUUGCAUCCAAAAAGCUGAAGUUGAAUCAAGAUGAAGGAAAAUUAAAGAUUGCUAUUGGUCUGAGAAAGAAAGAAGCAGACCUGAGGGAGGUUCAAGAUAAGUUGCUGUACUCCACCAGACAUGGGAAUCCAAGAAGAAAAGAGAAGGCUGACUUGGAAAUCAGGUUGACUUAUGCAGCAAAAAACUACAAUGAACAGAACAAUUGAUUGGUGGCCUUGGGGAUGAGAAAAUUCACUGGCAUGAGACUGCUUUGGAGCUGGGAAGGUAGUACAUCAAUUUGACUGGACAUACACUUAUUUCAUCAGGAAUUGAACCUUACCUAGGAGCUUUUACAUCCAGCUACAGACAAGUGAUACGUACAGUGAUUUUUGUCCCUCUUUAAAAAAAAAAAAAAAUUUAAUUAAUUUUUCUUCUAAUAUAAAUUUUAUAUUUUUAAAUUAUGCUUGCACAGAAUUCAUAACUGGAACUUUUCUUCCUUAAAGCAACAGUAGUUCAAUAACAGCAGAAGCUCAAUAAAGCAGAUGCUGUUAUUGCCCCA